rnacentral:rRNA from 1 species
UACGGAGGGUGCAAGCGUUGUCCGGAAUCAUUGGGCGUAAAGAGCGUGUAGGCGGCCAGAAAAGUCCGCUGUGAAAACUCGAGGCUCAACUUCGAGCUGUCGGUGGAAACUUUCUGGCUAGAGUCCGGAAGAGGAGAAUGGAAUUCCUGGUGUAGCGGUGAAAUGCGCAGAUAUCAGGAAGAACACCCGUGGCGAAGGCGGUUCUCUGGGACGGUACUGACGCUGAGACGCGAAAGCGUGGGGAGCGAACAGG